rnacentral:lncRNA from 1 species
GUUGAGUCUGGUGAUCCUUACAAAACAUAUAUGGAAGGCUAUGGAUCUUAUCAUGGAUUAGCUUGAAAAUAUAGGAAUUUCAAAUCCAUGUAUACAUCACACUCAUACCCGGUAUGUCACAUAACCAACUUCAGUUGUCCUUGGCUUGUGAAUUCACCAUCCAAAUAUUUUUCUUUUAUUGGAGAGCACAUAAAAUAUAUGGAGAAUCAAUGGCGAAUGUAAAUGAAACACUCCAUGUGUGUCUGCAUGCACAUGAUCAGUACCUCCAUUUUCCUUUGUAGUAAUGAUAGGAUACAAAUGUUACUUGUAAUCAGUUUUUGGCCAUUUCAUACCUAUGUCGUCAAGAUUCUGUUCUAGUGUAGAAUAUUCAGUUAAGUUCAGUUUGGUGACUUUGGUUUGCAUUUGUCCCAGAUUCUGUUCUGGUAUAGAAUAUUUAGUUUAGUUUGGUCUGGAUUUGUCCCAGAGGGCCAGUGUUUACAGGUCCAGUGCUUAUGUCAGUUAUUAAUUAGUCAAUAUUUUGUUCUGAUGUAGAAUAUUCAGUUUAGUUGGUCUCCACAGGUCCAGUGCUUAUGUAAGUUAUUAUUUAGUCAAGACUCUGCUCUGAUGCAGAAUAUCUAUUAACUUGCCACUUAAGUUGUUUCUACAAACUAAAAUUCGAACUUUAAAACUGAUCUAGCCAUAGUUUUUGCAGCAAGAAUACCAUGACUUCUUUUAUCUCCUUUUCGAGCUGGAACACUCGGCUAUCAUGAUUUUUCUUUGUAGACUUUCCAUGACUGGACAAAAUGUAUGUUGUGGAGAAAUUAUAAAUCGCCUUAUAAAUUGUUGUAAUGUUGUGCAGAAACUGAACAGGGACAAGAACAUGCAAUUAUAUGUUGUGGUAGAUUUCAAAAGAGACCCAUGGCCCAGAGUAGUUUUGCGCAAAUGAAGG